rnacentral:rRNA from 1 species
AUUGAACGCUGGCGGCAGGCCUAACACAUGCAAGUCGAACGAGGGGCGGACGGGUGAGUACUGUCUGGGAAACUGCCCGAUAGAGGGGGAUAACUACUGGAAACGGUAGCUAAUCCCGCAUACAAUGCGAUUUGGCCAGAUGGGAUUAGCUAGUUGGUGGGGUAACGGCUCACCUAGGCGACGAUCCAUAGAUGGUCUGAGAGGAUGACCAGCCACACUGGAACUGAGACACGGUCCAGACUCCUACGGGAGGCAGCAGUGGGGAAUCUUGGACAAUGGGCGAAAGCCUGAUGGAGCCAUGCCGCGUGUAUGAAGAAGGCUUUCGGGUUGUAAAGCACUGUUGGUGGGGAGGCGGUACUCGCAGAAGAAGCACCGGCUAACUCCGUGCCAGCCGCCGCGGUAAUAC